rnacentral:rRNA from 1 species
GACGAAGGAUGCAAGCGUUAUCCGGAUUUAUUGGGCGUAAAGAGCGUGUAGGCGGCCUGACAGGUCUGCUGUGAAAACUCGAGGCUCAACCUCGAGAUGUCGGCGGAAACCGUCUGGCUAGAGUCCGGAAGAGGAGAGUGGAAUUCCUGGUGUAGCGGUGAAAUGCGCAGAUAUCAGGAAGAACACCCGUGGCGAAGGCGGCUCUCUGGGACGGUACUGACGCUGAGACGCGAAAGCGUGGGGAGCGAACAGG